rnacentral:misc_RNA from 1 species
AACCAACCCUUGCACACAGUAACAACUGUGACCUUCCCUUCUUCUGCGCAUGUUCUCGGAGCUCCGGCUCCCUUAACGGAGCCCCAGCUCAUUGCCCAUCGAACAUCUCCAUAUUCCCGAUUAAAAGUGCUAACGAUCUCUCCAUUUCCUCUUUUUACUUUCUCAGAUCUUCAAUUUCAUUUUCCGUUUUUGUUUUAAGCAAUGUCAAAGGCGUGGGGCUCCAACGUCGACUGGGCCGCCGAUGUCGAGCGUGAGGAG